rnacentral:rRNA from 1 species
GUCUCCCUCUUUCUUCGUGCUUAACACAUGCAAGUCGAACGGAAAGGCCCUGCUUGCAGGGUACUCGAGUGGCGAACGGGUGAGUAACACGUGGGUGAUCUGCCCUUCACUUCGGGAUAAGCCUGGGAAACUGGGUCUAAUACCGGAUAGUCGCCAUGUUUAGUGUGAUGGUUGGAAAGUUUUUUCGGUGUAGGAUGAGCUCGCGGCCUAUCAGCUUGUUGGUGGGGUAAUGGCCUACCAAGGCGGCGACGGGUAGCCGGCCUGAGAGGGUGGACGGCCACAUUGGGACUGAGAGACGGCCCAGACUCCUACGGGAGGCAGCAGUGGGGAAUAUUGCACAAUGGGCGCAAGCCUGAUGCAGCGACGCCGCGUGGGGGAUGACGGCCUUCGGGUUGUAAACUCCUUUCGCUAGGGACGAAGCUUUUUGUGACGGUACCUAGAUAAGAAGCACCGGCUAACUACGUG